CUAUCGAUCAAAACACCUAUCGAUCAAAAAAACUUGUGAUCAGCAGCGUUACCGGAGAAUUUCUCAUUUGUUUCUAAUUGAUUUGCUGCCAACUGAAAUAUUCCUCAGCUUUGAAUGAACUCAGUGAUACGGUUGAUGUUCGCAUAACUCUGGCUUCACUCCUCCUAGAAGAUGGCAAACGAAAUGAAGCUGUAUUAGUGCUUUCUCCUCCGGAAAAACCAGGAAGAAGCUAUCAAAGAUGAAGAGUAUCACCAUCUUUUCGUGGAUUUGUGCAAAGCGUUGGCAUCCCUGCAAAGAUAUUGGGAAGCUUUGGAGAUAGUUAAUCUUGCUCGGAGAUUGGAUGCUAAAAUGCUGCCUGUUGAGAUAAAAAAGGAACUUCAGUCACUUGGAGCUAAAAUAUCAUGUGAUACAAUGGAUCCAAAGCAGUGGUUUGACUGUGUAAGACAUGUCAUCCAACAACAUCUGUAUCGUUUGAAUGCCUGGAACUGCUAUUACAGAGUCAUUUCAAGAUUAGGGAAAAGAGCAUCAACUGAAGCUAAGUUCAUGCAUCAUCUAAGGAGUAAGUAUAGAGAUUGCGUACCACCCAUUCUAAUUGCUGGUCAUCACUUCACCGUGACAAGCCGACAUCAAGAUGCUGCAAGAGAAUACCUUGAAGCAUAUAAACUAAUGCCUGAUAGUCCUUUAAUUAACCUCUGUGUG